GGAUAACCUGCCCUAUCGUCUGGAAUAACCUCGGGAAACUGAGAAUAAGGCCGGAUAGUCCACAAAGCCUGGAACGGUUUGUGAAUCAAGGUAGGAUGGGUCUGCGGCGCAUCAGGUAGUAGGGGGUGUAAAGGACCCCCUAGCCUUCGACGCGUACGGGUGUUGGGAGACAUAGCCCGGAGAUGGAUUCUGAGACACGAAUCCAGACCCUACGGGGUGCAGCAGGCGCGAAAACUUCACACUGCAGGAAACUGUGAUGAGGGAACUCCAAGUGUGUGCACUAUGUGUACACUUUUAUGAACUUUUAAUCGGUUCAGGAAUAAGGGCUGGGAAAGACCGGUGCCAGCCGCCGCGGUAAUACCGGCAGCUCAAGUGGUCGUCGCUUUUAUUGGGCCUAAAACGUCCGUAGCCUGUUCGGUAAAUCUGUGGGUAAAUCAACUCGCUCAACGAGUUGAAUUCUGCAGAGACUGCCAGACUAGGGACCGGGAGAGGUGUGGGGUACUCGAGGGGUAGGGGAAAAAUCCUGUCAUCCUUCGAGGACCACCAGUUGCGAAGGCGCCACACUGGAACGGAUCCGACGGUCAGGGACGAAGCCUAGGGGCACGAACCGGAUUAGAUACCCGGGUAGUCCUAGGUGUAAACGCUGUGAACUUGGUGUCGGGGGUCCGCAAGGGGUCCCCGGUGCCGGAGUGAAGAUGUUAAGUUCACUGCCUGGGGAGUACGGUCGCAAGGCUGAAACUU
rnacentral:rRNA from 1 species